rnacentral:rRNA from 1 species
AGCGAACGUUAGCGGCGGGCUUAACACAUGCAAGUCGAGCGAGAAAGGGGCUUCGGCCCUGAGUACAGCGGCGGACGGGUGAAUAACACGUAGGUAACCUUCCUUCCAGCGGGGGACAACGGUCCGAAAGGACCGCUAAUACCGCAUACGUUCCCUGGGACCCUGGUCCCGGGGAGGAAAGCUCCGCAAGGGGCACUGGAUGAGGGGCCUGCGUAGCAUCAGCUAGUUGGUGGGGUAAUGGCCUACCAAGGCUAAGACGCUUAGCUGGUCUGAGAGGAUGAUCAGCCACACUGGGACUGAGACACGGCCCAGACUCCUACGGGAGGCAGCAGUGGGGAAUAUUGGACAAUGGGCGCAAGCCUGAUCCAGCCACGCCGCGUGAGUGAUGAAGGCCUCGGUCGUAAAGACUCUGUGGGAGGGACGGAAGUGGCGCCGUGAAGAGACGGCGAGGUGACGGUACCGUCCUUACGUCAAGCACCGGCCGUAACUUACGUUGCCAGCAGCCGCGGUAAAGUA